UGCAGUAAAGAGAAGCAACCUGGAAACUGCUCCAGAUUUAGCAAGCACUGCAUGGUCCCAGCAGUGCAAGGGAUGCUGCCACCAUGCUGCUCCCUUUAUGCAAAAAGUCAGCUUGGCUUCAUGGCAAGGAAAUCUCAACAGAACCAGUACUGCUUCUUACUACAUAAAGCAACCAAAAUAGAAACUAGGGGAAGCUGGAUGCCUGUAACUUCAUUGCUCCCACUGGGCAGCUGGGGAACUAAGGGAGAGUGACAAUCCUUGUUAAGCUUUUCUUCUCUUCGCCUUUGAACAGAGAGGUAUUUGUAUUAGUGAGGAUUAACAUAGAGAAAAAAACAUGGAAAAAUGAAUGGACUGUGGGAGCCAACACAAGCCUGCCAAAGUCAACAGCUCUUAUAAUAAAUGGAAAUGCAUGUAUGUUAAAAUAU